rnacentral:rRNA from 1 species
ACGCUAGCUACAGGCUUAACGCAUGCAAGUCGAGGGGCAGCAUGGUCUUAGCUUGCUAAGGCCGAUGGCGACCGGCGCACGGGUGAGUAACACGUAUCCAACCUGCCGUCUACUCUUGGACAGCCUUCUGAAAGGAAGAUUAAUACAAGAUGGCAUCAUGAGUCCGCAUGUUCACAUGAUUAAAGGUAUUCCGGUAGACGAUGGGGAUGCGUUCCAUUAGAUAGUAGGCGGGGUAACGGCCCACCUAGUCUUCGAUGGAUAGGGGUUCUGAGAGGAAGGUCCCCCACAUUGGAACUGAGACACGGUCCAAACUCCUACGGGAGGCAGCAGUGAGGAAUAUUGGUCAAUGGGCGAGAGCCUGAACCAGCCAAGUAGCGUGAAGGAUGACUGCCCUAUGGGUUGUAAACUUCUUUUAUAAAGGAAUAAAGUCGGGUAUGGAUACCCGUUUGCAUGUACUUUAUGAAUAAGGAUCGGCUAACUCCGUGCCAGCAGCCGCGGUAAUACGGAGGAUCCGAGCGUUAUCCGGAUUUAUUGGGUUUAAAGGGAGCGUAGAUGGAUGUUUAAGUCAGUUGUGAAAGUUUGCGGCUCAACCGUAAAAUUGCAGUUGAUACUGGAUAUCUUGAGUGCAGUUGAGGCAGGCGGAAUUCGUGGUGUAGCGGUGAAAUGCUUAGAUAUCACGAAGAACUCCGAUUGCGAAGGCAGCCUGCUAAGCUGCAACUGACAUUGAGGCUCGAAAGUGUGGGUAUCAAACAGGAUUAGAUACCCUGGUAGUCCACACGGUAAACGAUGAAUACUCGCUGUUUGCGAUAUACUGCAAGCGGCCAAGCGAAAGCGUUAAGUAUUCCACCUGGGGAGUACGCCGGCAACGGUGAAACUCAAAGGAAUUGACGGGGGCCCGCACAAGCGGAGGAACAUGUGGUUUAAUUCGAUGAUACGCGAGGAACCUUACCCGGGCUUAAAUUGCAGAUGAAUUACGGUGAAAGCCGUAAGCCGCAAGGCAUCUGUGAAGGUGCUGCAUGGUUGUCGUCAGCUCGUGCCGUGAGGUGUCGGCUUAAGUGCCAUAACGAGCGCAACCCUUGUUGUCAGUUACUAACAGGUUCCGCUGAGGACUCUGACAAGACUGCCAUCGUAAGAUGUGAGGAAGGUGGGGAUGACGUCAAAUCAGCACGGCCCUUACGUCCGGGGCUACACACGUGUUACAAUGGGGGGUACAGAGGGCCGCUACCACGCGAGUGGAUGCCAAUCCCCAAAACCUCUCUCAGUUCGGACUGGAGUCUGCAACCCGACUCCACGAAGCUGGAUUCGCUAGUAAUCGCGCAUCAGCCACGGCGCGGUGAAUACGUUCCCGGGCCUUGUACACACCGCCCGUCAAGCCAUGGGAGCCGGGGGUACCUGAAGUGCGUAACCGCGAGGAGCGCCCUAGGGUAAAACUGGUGACUGGG